rfam:Coniochaeta ligniaria NRRL 30616 unplaced genomic scaffold CONLIGscaffold_2, whole genome shotgun sequence.
GGUCUUGUAGUGUAGUUGGUUAUCACUUCGGAUUCUGAAGCUUAGACUUCCGGUGACCCCGGUUCGAAUCCGGGCAGGACCU